rnacentral:lncRNA from 1 species
AUAUCGACGGUGAGGGCAAAAAGGAUGAUUAAGGGUGGUUGUUAUAACAUACCAGAUUUUGGUAUAAAAAUAAAAAUAAAUAAAAAUAGUGUUGGAUACUAUUUUUAUUAGAUUUAGAGAAGUAAAACAUAAGUCAGAAAUGACUUGUGCUGAAAUCGGAAUGAAAACAGAAGAUCUAGAAUUUUCUCUUGGAAACGGGACAGAUAAAUUAGCAGAAAAUGCACAGUCUCAGAAAAUUAUGAAAAUUGGAGAAUAAGUCAGAAAUAUUUUUAUGAGGCUAGAUUUAAAGUUUCAUAUUUUUCU